rnacentral:rRNA from 1 species
GACGAACGCUGGCGGCGUGCUUAACACAUGCAAGUCGAACGGUGAAGCGCCUUCCUUUUUGGUGGGUGUGGAUGAGUGGCGAACGGGUGAGUAACACGUGAGUAACCUGCCCCCUUCUUCUGGAUAACCGCAUGAAAGUGUGGCUAAUACGGGAUAUCCUGGGUCUGUCGCAUGAUGGGUCUGGGAAAGAUAUUGUUUCGGUGGGGGAUGGGCUCGCGGCCUAUCAGCUUGUUGGUGGGGUGAUGGCCUACCAAGGCGGUGACGGGUAGCCGGCCUGAGAGGGUGGACGGUCACACUGGGACUGAGACACGGCCCAGACUCCUACGGGAGGCAGCAGUGGGGAAUAUUGCACAAUGGGCGCAAGCCUGAUGCAGCGACGCCGCGUGAGGGAUGGAGGCCUUCGGGUUGUGAACCUCUUUCGCCAGUGAAGCAGGCCUGCCUCGUUUGUGGGUGGGUUGACGGUAGCUGGAUAAGAAGCGCCGGCUAACUACGUG